CUCGCGGCUCUGCCGGUGACGCCGGUGCGAACCAAGAGCUCACCAUCGGAUGCAUCCAGAGUCCACACCGUGUCGGCCAUGGACCGACCCUAAUCGCGUAUCACAUGGUGA
rnacentral:sRNA from 1 species